rnacentral:rRNA from 1 species
UACGAAGGUGGCAAGCGUUGUUCGGAUUUACUGGGCGUACAGGGAGCGUAGGCGGUUGGAUAAGCCCUCCGUGAAAUCCCCAGGCUUAACCUGGAAAGUGCAGAGGGGACUGUUCAGCUAGAGGAUGGGAGAGGAGCGCGGAAUUCCCGGUGUAGCGGUGAAAUGCGUAGAGAUUGGGAGGAAGGCCGGUGGCGAAGGCGGCGCUCUGGAACAUUUCUGACGCUGAGGCUCGAAAGCGUGGGGAGCAAACAGG